UGAGUAUUCUUCCUCCUCUGAUUCUUGGGUACUUGGUAGAUUAUUUUGUAAUUAUGUUCUCAGUUCACUAGGAGGAAUAACAGUGCUUCAAAAUGAAAGUCAGGAGCAUUUGUGAUUCAUUAUGAGAGCCAGGAAGAGGGAAGUCAGGAUGAGGAAUUAGGCACUAAGGUCUGACUCCUCCCAGAUUCUUACAUGAUCCAGUUCACUAUUUCUUCCCUUUGUGUGGCAGGAGGAACUGGAGCGGGACAAGAGGGUCACUUGGAUUGUGGAGUUCUUUGCCAAUUGGUCUAAUGACUGCCAAUCGUUUGCUCCUAUCUAUGCUGACCUCUCCCUCAAGUAAGUUAGUGCAAAGGGAGGGAUAAUGGAAAUUGAGAUGCAGUACCUUCCUUCUUAUUUUUGGCCUUGACUUUUACGCUUUCCAGCCAAAGUCAUUACCCCCUUCUCUCCUCAAAUAUCUUUAUUUUCACUUUUUAAAAUGUUUUCAAUAUAUUAAAUAAUAUGUUCUUCUCAGGUACAACUGUACAGGGCUAAAUUUUGGGAAGGUGGAUGUUGGACGCUACACUGAUGUUAGUACCAGGUAUGUAAAGAUUAGAGCUAAGGAUCUUAGCAAGGAAUUACUUUGAGCACUAUAUAGAGAUACAUUCACAGAGUCUUUUCUGGGCCCUGUAGGUACAAAGUGAGUACAUCACCCCUCACCAAGCAGCUCCCUACCCUGAUCCUGUUCCAAGGUGGCAAGGAGGUAAUGCGGCGGCCACAGAUUGACAAGAAAGGACGAGCUGUCUCUUGGACCUUCUCUGAGGUAUUUGAAGGAAUAGGCAAGUAGUUUGCAAACGGGUACAGAUCAGUGGAUGAGUUCUGAAACCCAACCUGGAUUUGAUUUCCAGUGUCUACCACUUGUCCACUAGUUUUUGAGGAUAUAGACUAGAUACUAGGCCUCAUUUUAGUUCACUCACCAAAUUUACAUUGUAUGCCAGACUGCUAGUACAGGGAACAAUGAUGAGUGAAGACUUAGUCUCUAAGGCGCCUAUAGUAUGUAGGCAUUUAGGCUUCUCAUCACAAAUUGGAUAUCCAUCUGGCUCACAAGAUUAUUUUACAGACUACAUGUAGAUAGUAUCAUUCAUUCUUGGCACAGUGAUUGACACAUAAUGAAUACUUAAGUAUUAAUUGACUUUUCUGGGUACUUAAAAAAAAAAGAGGAAAGUUAAAUUAGGGUAGAUUUGUAUCCUUUCCUUUCUCCCUUCUUUCCUACUCUGUGUCUAAAUACUCCUUACUUUUAGGUUCUGAACUUUACCUUCCAAACCAAAUCCUGAUGUGUGCAUCUCUUUUGUGCAGGAGAAUGUAAUUCGUGAAUUUAACUUGAAUGAACUGUAUCAACGGGCUAAGAAGAUAUCAAAGACUGGAGACAGUAUCCCGGAGGAGCAGAGUGUGGCCCCAGUCCCCACCACAGUGCCAGAUGGGGAAAGCAAGAAGGAUAAAUAAGAUUCCUGCCUAGUUUUUGCUCCCUCUUCUGUCAAUUCCAGGCACCUUUGAGGCCCUACUCCAGUGUAACCAUAAGCUCUGCCUGAGGCUGCUGCCUCUUGUUUUCCCUGUUUGGCUGUUGCAGGGUAGGCAGGAUGCUGCUUCUGAUUUUAAAGAAGCAGGCAUAGAAUUGUCAGGUACCCUAGAGGAAGGCCUGCCUUGCUGUGGCCAACUGUUUACUUAAGGGAGAGAUCUCAUAUGAUGGGGGAGGAAAUGGUUUCCCUCCAAGGUUGGGUCAGUGUGUAAACUGCUGUUCUUCCUUAGACAUCAGCAGUCUGUGGUUUCCUUAUUCCUCUUAGUGGCUCUGCACAGCCUAGACUAGAUCAAACCUGUUACUUGCCUGGGUAUAGAACACUAAGAAUUUUUCCUCAAGGACCCUUGCUUUCCUUAGGCCCUUCUGGCUUGGUCUAUGGCAUUCAUUAAAAAAUACAAGCCUAAAUUUGUUACUGGUCCCAAGGAGAAACCUUUUACCACAGAGUUUUCAUCAUUGAAAAUAGUAUUGAAUGAUCCUCCUAUUUUGUAGGGAUCCAGAGGAAAAGGAAUAAAAGCUUGAGACUUUCCUUUGUGUGUUGGGACCUGGAGGAGAAAGCCUGGACUGUCCUUUUCUCCUACCUAGUCCCCACACCUAACCAACAGUUUCCAUAAUAAAAGAGACUGGGAUUUCUUUUGAUUAAUCUUUUGUGUAUUUCUCUUGUGUUAGAAAAGCUAGGCAGGGCUAGGACAGUGGAUCAGUGGGAGUUUACCUAGCAUGCUUGAGGCCCUGAGUGGGAUCCCCAGCACCACCAAAAACCAGACAGUCUUCAAAGAAAAGCUAAGUAACUGCAAAGGAAUAGCCCAUCUUUUAAUUUUUUUUUUUUUUUUUUUAAAUUAUCAGUACUGGGGAUUGAACCCCUGGGUCCAUUACCAUUCAGCUAUAUCCCCAGUCCUAUAUUUUUAUUUUGAGACAGGGUCUGAGUUGCCCAGAUUGGCCUUGAAUUUUCGAUCCUGAUCCUCCUCCUUCCACUUCCCAAGUAAUGGAUUACAGGUGAAUGCCACCAUGCUGGACAAGACCACGUAAUAUGAAAGGGCAUAUUUUGUUUCACCAAAUGCUGGGCAUCAAUUCCCAGGAUUGAUGAUGAUUGGGGAAGACCGAUUUCUGUAAUCCAAAGUGCUAACCAGAGGGGAUGCUUUGUGAACUUAAUUUUGGAUUGGUCCGUGCCUCCCAGGGAGGAAUUUGGGGAGCAUCAUAAAGCAUAGCAUUUAGUGCAGCGCAUAGGUACCUAACCUCUUGCUUCCAGACUUGAGUCCCCACCUCCUGGCAUGCCGGCCUCACCUCGUCCUUUCCACCCAUAGUCUUAAUGGUAGGGCCUGGUUCUCGCAGUACCUCCCCCUUCUGGUAGGCGGAGUGGCUGGGCUCGAAGGUCCCGCCUCCCCGCCACAUGCGCGCUGCGGGCCCCGUUUUCCACUCUCGCGGGGAGUUUUUGUUUCGUGAGCGGAAGUUCUGGGUUAAACCUGGUGAUUCGAAGUCUGACUGCCCUCCUGCCUGGUGCUAUCUCAGUCGUAGCAUCUUCACUGUAUUCUCCCUUCCGCCCCAGCAUCCCCAGUCGGCUCGGCGCGCGGCCGGAUUCCAGGCGUCAUGGCUCCUCGCUGGAGGAAGCGGAAGGCCGAGGCCGCUGCGGUCUCCACGUCGGAGAAGCGGGAGAAACUGGAGAACGGCAAGGAACAAGUAGAGGAGGCGGUCGUCAUUGAGCAUUGGUGAGCGCCCUGGGAGGCGCGGGCGGCGGCGGGAAGAAUGGCUGGCGUUGCAGCGGGGCCGCAGUCUGAUCUCCCCGUCUCUCCCUAGCACUAGCUGACGCGUCUACGGGCGCAACGCCGCGGCCCUGAGCCAGGCGCUGCGCCUGGAGGCUCCGGAGCUUCCCGUGAAAGUAAAUCCUUCCAAGCCCCGGAGGGGCAGCUUCGAGGUGACCCUGCUGCGCCAGGACGGCAGCAGUGAGUGCGGGCCGGAGCCUGGGGGGAGAGGGGCCUGGGUCUAAAGCUAAGAAGCACUAGUUUUGGAAACCGCGGCCAGCUGUUGACUUUAGAGAUGCUCUUGGAUUCCAAAGUAAUUUCGAUUUAUUCCCAGGUGCCGAGCUCUGGACCGGGAUUAAGAAGGGACCCCCACGCAAACUCAAAUUCCCCGAACCUCAAGAAGUGGUGGAAGAGUUGAAGAAGUACCUUUCGUAGGCGAUUUGGGCAGAAGUCCUCAUGCUGAGGUUUGAAAUGGAGAGGGAAUUAAUCUUGGGUAGCUUCUUGCAAAGGAGCCCAUACUGUUAUAAUUUAUUCCACACAGGAUCUAAAAGAGUGGUUUCCUACAGGGUGUGCCUUUUGCAAACCGUUUUCAUUUUCAUUUGAGUCCCUUUAUGCCAUAUUAUAGAACACUAAUGGUAACAUUAAUGAUUCUUUAUAGAAGCGUAAUUUGUAUACUUCCGGUUGAUUGUGGCCCUGGGGGUAUGAUCCAGUGUUGCUUUUGUUUGAAAAUUUAUUUCCUCAUUCCUGGUGGCUAUUUUAAUUCUUUGAACCAGUUUUAAAUCUUACUGCUUCCCAGAGUUAAAAUUUUUAACAUGUUUUUAUGUGGGUUAAUGAUUUUCCAUCUUUACUGGCACAUUACUGUACCUGCCCCUACACUUUUCUAGGGUUAUUUUGCCCCCCCCCCCCCCCAUGUCUUAUGUAUUAAACACUGCAUUACAACACUGUGCGUCUCGGUUAGGUGGAUUUUUGUCUGUCCAUAAUGUUUCAUUUAAUGCUUUGGCAUCUUGUCAGGCACUUGUAUGUUGAAUGAGUUUUGGGGGAAGGAUACAAUCCUUGAGCUCCUGGGUGGUGGUGGUGUGGGAAGGGAUGGCAUGCCUGUAAUUCCAGGGACUUUAGCAGGCCGAAGCAGGAGGAUUACAAGUUUAAGACCAGUCUCAGCAAGUCCUUAUCUCAAAAAAUAAAGGGCUGGGGAUGUUGUCAGUGGUAAAGCCUCCCAGGGUUUAAUCCCCAGUACCAAAAUUUAAUAAAGUGAUGGAGGGAGAUGUCUUCCUUAGUCUUUGGUUGCCUGGAUCUCUUCUCUAACAUUUCCCUUCUCGUUAUUGCAGCUGUCUCUGGUGGUGUUGGAGCAUUUAUGAUGGGACAUGGCUAAACUUCAGUCAUGUACCUGAAGCCAUUUCUUCCACUCCAGAAAUGAUACAGAUGAGGCAACCCUCUAGUAAGGCAUUGUAAAAAUAUUUGAAUUUGGUUUGUUUAAUAAAAGGUUAAAUAAAGUAUCUAAGAGUAAAAUUUAAUGUUGAUGGACAAAGCCAGCUGUGGGAUUGGUGGUCCUUAUUUUUC
rnacentral:lncRNA from 1 species